GCCUGGGGAGCCCAGCUGUGUGGUGGGCUCAGAGGCAGAGCUCUGGGGUGUCUCCACCAUGGCCUGGACCCCUCUCCUGCUCCCCCUCCUCACUCUCUGCACAGGCUCUGUGGCCUCCUCUGCCUUGAAUCAGCCAUUUUCUGUGUCCGUGGCCCUGGGACAGACAGUCAGGAUCACCUGCCAGGGAGGAGGCAUAGGAAGCUACUAUGCUGACUGGUUCCAGCAGAAGCCAGGCCAGCGCCCUGCACUGCUCCUCUAUGGUAAUAACAACCGGCCCUCAGGGGUCCCUGACCGAUUCUCCAGCUCCCUCUCAGGCGGAACGGCCACGCUGACUCUUACCAGGGCCCAGGCUGAGGACGAGGCUGACUAUUACUGUUAUUCAGCGGACAGCAGUGGUAACAACCACACAGUGACACAGGCAGAUGGGGAAGUCCCUAUGGAGAGUCAGCUUCAGGGAAGUCCUUUAGGGGCCAUCUGUCCCCACUGA